CACAGCCUCCUUGGGCAACCUGUGACCCACUUGGGUUAUAAUAUGUAGCACAGCUUCUCAGCCCUGUUCUCUUUUGUAGGAAAGACAGACACCUUGAUUUUACCGUUGACACUGUUGUGGACAAGUUCACAUGCAGAUAACCUGCUGCUGUGAUUUAGCACCAGCUUCAAGCCUUUGAGACUCGUCCACCCUCCAAGAAGGGAUGAUUCCUCAGCUAUAGUUUCUUCCCACAGAAAAUCUGUAUGGUAGUGCUGGCAUACUCUGAACUAGGGUGUGUGCAGCAGGUGAGAUGCAGCAUGGUGUGAAAGUAACAGAUCUUGACAUUCCCUUAAACUCCUGAUCAGGUUUGUUGGCUUUCUGUUUUGUCCUUUUUGAUCUGUGACUUCAGCAGGGUGCAUAUGCCAGAUAGAUGUAGGGGAAAACUCAUAGGCAAGCUUGCGCUGAACUUGUCCCAGAGGGGUUCUCAUGCAAUUGCAAGACCUCCCAGAGGAAUACCUAACACGAAGAGAUUGUCUUUGACUCAUCCUUGCUAAAGAUAAUGGAGGUGGCAUGUACCAGGACUUAGCCAGGAUCUCAGGAUCAGCACUGCAGAUCCCAACAGCCUUGGGAAAGCAUGGAACCAAUGCAUCUGUACCAUGGAGAUGGGCACUGUGACAUUGCUGUGGCCCAGGCAGAGGUGGGUCCUCUGCUAUAUUUUGGUCCUGAGCUCCUCAGUAAGUUCUCGUGACACUGAUAGAAAGAACCAGUCGAGAUAAAGCUCAGUUGUCUCCUUUCUGCCAUUUUUCCCCCAGUCAAUGCCCCAGGCAGGUGAAGGAUGGUGCACCUAAUGUCAAGCAGCUGCUCCUUCACUAAUCUUAGCUCUCAUUGGUAUUCAACACUGCUGUUUUUAAGGCCUGAUUUUUUGUAAGGCUUAUGGGAGAAACAGAGUGCCCAGCAUCACCCUGAGGGUCACCUUGCCUGCAGUUGUUUUGUGUGAGUGUUAUACACCCACUGCUGUUCUGUGAGGUCACAGAUAGAGAACCAUUCUUGGGGUGCUGUCACCAGGCUCCUGUUUGGAUCUGAGUCUUGGAGAUCUGCAUCUGAUUAGCCAAGAUGUUGGUAGAGUUAAUGCAGAUGUAGAAGCAUCACUGACUCCUACACAUAGAUGAACACAGAAUUGCCUCCAUCUCACCAGACUGAGGACAGCUGCUCUGUUCUGGACCCAAGCUUCUCUGAUCUACUGACCAGACUGCUUAAACUGAAGGAUCCAUGUUAGCCAAGGAAGAAGAUGAGGCAGCAAGCAAAGCAGCUGGUGGCUGGGAGCUCUGCUGGAGAGAGGUGACCACUGCAGUGAACGUGUGCUGAGAUCCUCCUGAGCUGAAACAUCAGCACUGUCUGCUGGACCCCAAAUAUUCUGCUUUUUGCUUUCCAUGCCCUAUCGUUUCUGCACAAAGCUAGAGAGCAUGCAGGACAUUCAGACUGACAUGACUUAGGUAAAGCAGAGAAUAUCCUGCCUGAAAUGAAGCAUCUUCCCACAAACUGAGUUCAUCCUUCAAGGUACUCAAACCUCAGCUGGACGCAGCCCUGAGCAGAAGUCCUCACUGGAUCUGCUUUGAGCAGGGGGUUGGACUGCUGAGAUCCCAAUCGUGGCUGCAGCACUGUGAGUGAGCACAGUGAGCAGGAGGGGAGCCUUCAAGCUUCAGCGCCAGGACCAAAUAUUUACCCUCUGCACGCUGCUUUCCUCUUGGAAUCCUCUGAGUGUCCUAGAGGAACAGCUACAAGUGGAGUGAAGGAAGAGGACAGCAAAGCUUGUCUCCACGUGACAUCUGUGGACACUUCAGAGCCACCAUCACUCACAUGGAUCUGAAAGGAAAGCUCUCAACGUGCUCGCAGGGAUGUUCAAAAAGGGAAGCCAAACUGAAGCCGGCACAAGCUCGGACCUGACUAUGUGUCAUGUGUGUGAGGACGGAGAGUCAGAGGAGACAUUCAUGCUCACCGAGUUGAUGUGAUUGUUGGCAAGGGAGCAGCUGUUCACUGGGAGAUGCAAAUGUGAUCCAGAAAGGGGCUACCAGUGGAGCAGAACGUGCCACCACCUCUGGCAAUGUCAGUGGUGCUGAUAAACCAGGGAAGACAGGCUACAUUCAUUGGAGGUACUAGGGAUAAGCAGGUGAGUUAUGGCGGCACCCGGACAGCUGUGGAGCCAAGUAAUUCCCAUUAUACUUCUGUCUUCUGCCAAAAGUCUAGGAACUAAAUCCACUGCUCAGACUCUGAGAAGGAGGUGGAAGCCCCCUCUGCUUCCACGAGUGGCGCUCAGGGAACCUUGCUCACCCCCAGUUUGCUCUCAGUGCUGGAAGUGCUGCCCUCUCAUGUAACUCUGAUGGACUCAGAGAGCAGUAACAGCUCCAAGCAAACCAAGAGCCCCAGGGUGUUUGCACACAUCAGCACAGUGACAACUAGUCGUAGAUCCUGGGGACAAAACAUGCCUUGUUAAACUUCCUGGUGGUACAGAGAAGUCUUAGAUUACCCAAAGAACUGCCAGCUAUGGGGAAAAAGAAAGCAUUUUGAAAGCUUGGUGUGUUUAAGGCACACUCAGACCUUCAGAUGUGUCUGCCAAAUUAUCUUCAAAUAACACGUAGCAACAGUGAUACUCUGAAAGCUCUGUUCUGGUCCAAAGAAAUUCCACCUGCUUGUUUUCUGCCUGUUUCUUCUGUGUCUUACCUGCACAGCAACUGUUCCAGAUGUGCUAGACUAGAUUAAACAGAAUGUUCUCAUUUAGGAAUAAACACAGGUUCUGUUUUUAGCUUAACGCAUUUUGGUUCGACACUGUGAGCAUCCACGCAGGUAAUUUGGAAAGAUGCUCCAGUUCAGACUUGCAUGCUGUGUAAUUACCACCAGGUGCAGAGCAAUCGCUGUGGCACCAUGAUGUGAGCAGCAGGAUGGCUGACACAGCUGAGGUGUCAGGGCUUGCUGGCCCAAAUAAAUGCCAGCUCGUGCCAAUGCUGGAUAUGGGGUGGUAGGAGGCAGGGAAAAGAAGCUGGCAAAGCUUGGUCUCCUUUGCACAGCUUUGUCAGAUGCAGGCAGUUACUGACUCGAGGCAAGAUUUCCUAAAUUGCACUGCUCAUGCUUCCUGGGCCAGCAUGUGCAUGUACUUGCGUGCAGAACAGCCAUGGAUGAAGGGUUCCGGGUCUGCAAUGCACAGCAUGCCAGUAGCUGUGGUUGUCUUAAGAAGAAGCAAGAGGGAACCUGACCCUGCAGCCAGCCAAACAGCGGUGCAAUCAAGAAGAAUGAGCUGAGCCUGGAAAUAUUUUUGAUCAUCAUUUUCCAAACGAAUCUAUUUUUGCAGAGACUUGAUUUGUCCGCGUUUCUGGGCUCAGACAGCAAGAGCAAUUUCUGGGGCUGUUCACAAUGGCUGAACCUACCCCACAGUUCUCACAUUGGAUCAGCACCUUUGGCACCCACUCCUGACGUGAAUGCCUGAUGCAGUGUUGAAGGGCCUGUUCUGAUAUGAAUUUCCUUCUAACUGAAGCUUCUAAAGACUCCUGUCCAAUAACAGGGUAUUUCUUUCCCUUCCUCACUUCCACGGGUUAUUCUGGAAAAUCAAUUCUCAAGAUGCUAUGGCAGGAAGAAUAAAAACAGCCAAACACAUGAACUAAUCUCUCUGACAGCACAAUUACUUCCAAGCGCCUAUAGUGUAGAGACAAAGAAGCCUGUAGAAGGAAACAGAGGGAAUCCCCUAUACAAAAGAAGGAAAUUUGGGAAGAAUGACUAAUCCAAGAGAGAAAAUUAGGUGUUGUGUUGUUAGCAAGACAAAGGGGUCUCAAAAUACCAAGCUGAUAUCUGUGUCAUGCAGGGUGCCAGGACAUAAUGCUGCAGUACUGGACCUUACUGGUGGAGCAG